AUGCAUUUUCGUUUGUCUUCCAUCACAAUACUACAUGCUCACACCGUCAUCGUCAAUGAAGCCCAGGCAAAGAAGGUCCAAAUCGGUCAGUCGCUCUCAUUCAUCAACAGCGGCGCCAUUGACGGCGACAAACCCACCACGGCCAGUCGCAGUUCUCCCUCGCCGUUGACCACCACAAGCCACCAUCGAGGUGGUCUCCUUGCUCCCUCCCUCUCUCUACUUUUCUUGGACUACCGACUCGGUCUCUCCUUUGAUUUGUGAUGGUGUGAGGGUUUGGGUUGUUUGAUGGUUCAAAAUAUGUAUUAGUUGCGGUUGAAAUUUGAUUUUAGGGUCUGGUGGUGGUGCUAGAUUGUGGAGGUGGUGGUGGAUUUGAAUUUGGUGGUGGGGAUGGACUGUUGGGGUGGUGGUAAUUUGGGUUUGGUGAUGGUGGAUCUGGAUUAGUGGUGGUGCUAAACUGUUGAGGUGGUGGUGAUUUGGGAUGUGGUGGCCUGGUGGAUUUGGGUUAAGGGGUGAAAAUAUUUGGCAACCAAAAAAUUUUGCAAGAAAGUAAAAAACAAAACUGAAAAAAGAUGUGAAAAUAUGUUUAGUUAGCAAGAAAUGUUAAGAAAAUUAAAAGAAAAUGAUAAGUUUGGUAUAUAUAAAAAAUAAAAAUAAAAAACUAUUUUUGAAAUUGAUGCGGCUGUUUUUUGUUAUGUAAGUGUUGAUGUGGCAUUAAAAUUUUGACACUUCAGCAUUGGACAAGUUAACAUUGCACACCGUUAGUCACAUAAGUAUUUUUUAUUAAUGAGUUAACAAUAAGGACCAAAUUGAUUAUAAGUUGAAAAUAAUAGGGACUAAAUUGACUGUUAUUAAAAUGUAGAGAUCAAACUGAUUGUAACGUCAAAAUAUAAGAACCAAAAUGAUGUUUUCGCAUUUUUUAAAUGAAGUAGUCAUUUAUAUUCUUUUAAUAAAAAUAUAAAAUAAUAUUAUUUUAUGUUUUAGAGAUAUGAUUAUAAAUUUAUACAAACUACAUUUUCUAUCUUCUCAUUUUUCUUCUCAACCAAAUAAAAAAAAUUUCAUCUCUCCAACUAAACACAAAUGAAAGAAAAUAAUUAUUUUUUCUAUUCUCCCACUUUUUCUUUUCUUACUUAUUUCUCUAUUUUUUAUCAUCUCACAUUUUCAUUUACUCAACCAAAUGGACCUAAAAAUUUAUCUCACCCUUUAAUAAUUAAAAAAAUAAACAAAAUAAACUAGUUUUUUUUUUUUUAAUUAAGCAAAUAAUUUAUUAAAAUGCACUUUUUAUUUCGAACAUUUAAAAAAAAAAAAAAAAACCAUGCAUUGUGGAAAGAGUGGAAAAGUUUCUGGCAUGUAUUGUGGAAAUUCAUUGCGCGUUGGAGACAACUGUAUACGCAUCUUCCACUUCCACUUCCACUUACACAUAUAGGAUGGUAUCAUGGUAGUACUUACACAGACACAAACUUUUUUUUUGAGGUGGGCCACAGAUCAAAUCUGUCGCCUCUCACCCCUCUCUCAGCCAUAUUGCCACCGCUGCCGCUGCUCUGCUUUUUCUUCGCCGCCCAGCUGUCGCUACUGGUUCUUCUUCUUCACUGCUACGGCUUCUUCUUCUUCUUCUUCUUCGCCGCUGCUGGUGCUGGUGCUUCUUCUUUUCUACCUCUUCUUCUUCUUCUUCUUUUGUGCAAUAUGGGUUUGAUGAUUCAUAUAUAUAUAUAUAUAUAUAUUUUGUAUAUGGGUUUGAUGAUUUUUUUAUUUUUUUUGGUAUAAUGGGUAACUUCUUCUUUUCUACCUCUUCUUCUUCUUCUUCUUUUGUGCAAUAUGGGUUUGAUGAUUCAUAUAUAUAUAUAUAUAUAUAUUUUGUAUAUGGGUUUGAUGAUUUUUUUUUUUUUGGUAUAAUGGGUAUAAUGAUUCAUAUAUGUUUGAUGAGUUUGGGUUCUAAAUUUUUGUAUAUGGGUUUAAUGAGUUUAGAUCUAAAUUUAGGAUGAUUUUGAUGAAUUUGUAGAGAUGCUGGAAUUCAAGAGGAUACAGUCAAAGAAUAGAGUUAGAGGAAGAGAGAUAAUAUGACGAGAGAGGGGAGAGAAAAUAUAAUAAAAAAUUAAAAUACAAAGCUACAAAAAGCUAUGGUGUAUAUUUAGAUGGUUACAACAGCCGCAUCAAUAUGUCUAAAAGAUUUCGUUUAUUUUAUAUAAAAAACUUAGGUUAUGUUCGGUAACAGUUUUUGUUUUCUAUUUUCAAAAACUUGUUUUUGAGAAUAUAAAGAAAAAACAAUUUUCUUUUAUUUUUUUUUAAAAAAAAACUUGUUUGGUCAAUUCAAAUUAAAAAAAAAAAUUGAAGAAAAAAAAAAGAAAAUACUAAAAUAUGUUGUUGGUAGAAUUUAAACUCUAAUGCUAAUUCAUUAGAUUAAAUGUGUGUUUUCAUUGACUUUUAAAAAUUAAAAACUAAAAAUAGCAUUUUACAUAUUUUUAAUUUUCUUUACAAACUGAGUUUUGAGAACAGUUUUUAUUUUAUGUCUAUUUUGGAUUACCAAACAAGUUUUUUAGUCUCAAAAAUAGAAAAUUAUUUUUGGAAACAGAAAAUAAGGGAAAAAAGCAGUUACCAAACAUACCCUUACUUUUUCUAUUUUAUACCAUCACUUUUACAAAACAUCUACAUUAGUUUAUUUAUUAUAUACACUUUUUUUAUUAAAAUAAUAUUUUUUUCUCACUUUUUCUAUUAUUUCCCACCCACCUCCACCUAACCCACAAAGUCUCCGCCUCUCACUUUCCCCUAACCCUCAAACUCUUCGCCUCUCACUUUCCCCUAACCUACAAACUCCCUGCCUCUCUCUCAUCCCUCAAAGUCUCUGCAUCUUUUUAUUUUUAUUUUUUUUUGACAAUUCAAAAGCUACAAGGAAGAGAGAAGAUGAUGAUGAUGAUGAUGAAGAAGAUGAAGAUGAUUGAAAUAUAAGGAAAUCCCUCAUCUCUCUCCUUAAUUCUCAGAUCCCUUAAGUCUCUGCCACCAUUAGGUUUGUAUUUGAUUUUGAUUUUGGGUUUGGGUUAUGGCUUUUCAGUUAAUGGUUUAAUUUUGAGUUGAUUUUCUGUGGAUUUUGGGUUUGAUUUUUAGUUAAUUUUGUUUUAGGUUGAUUUUGAGUUGGGUUUGGGAUGGGUUUUCCAAUGGGGUUUGAAUUGAUUUUAAGUUGUUUUGUGUUGAUUUUGAGUUAUUUUUGGUUUGAUUUUUUUGAUUUUGUGUUUGGAUUAUCAAAUGUUGAAAUGGGUUGUGUUGGUAGACCGGUGAUAGUUGGGUGGUGCUUGGUUUUGAUCAUCUGGGUUGAAAUGGGUUGUGGCGGUAGACCAAUGAUAGUUGGGUGGUGCUGUGUUUGUAUUUGGGUGAUACAUUCUUGACCGAUGUUGGUCUGUAACAGAGGAGCAAGAUUAUUAGGGAGAAGAGAAAAGCCUGAGUUCGUUUCAGAGGAAGAAGAGAGAGAAAAAAAGGAGCCAAAUUGGGAAAUUAUUAAAAUAUUAAAUGCACAUGCUAUAGUAACCGUGCAUAUAUGCACGGUUACUGUAGUAAUUGUGCAUUUAUGCACAAUUUUACACCCACUGAUGUGGGUGUUUUUUUGCUCAAAAUGUGUAAAAUCAGUUACUUUUUCCAUUUUGCACAACUUUGCACAUACUGAUGGGGAUGCUCUUAGCUAACUUGCAUAUUUACACAGUAAUACAUAGUCUGAUGCGAGUGAGUUUUGAGCAACAUUGGGUAAAUUUCACCACUUUUUCUAUUACGCACUCACUGAUGUACACACGUGGGUGUAAUUUGCAGGCUAGCAUAAUUUUGGAUUGUAUGUUGUUAGUUAGCUUGCGUUAAAAACGAUUCAGUAAAGUAACAUCUCAAGUUUUUAUAACUCGAGUUCCACUUGCUGAUGUGGGCGUUUUUUUGCCUCAUGGAUCUCGAGUCUUACAGACUCGAGUUUUUAAAAAGUAAACCCGAGUCUAUAAGAAUCGAUUUUUGUCAGCAUAAAACUGAAUCACGUAGCACACAACAAAGAACUGAAACACUCAAACCUAGAACAAACCCACUACCUCACUGCUCACUCACCGAUAACACCUACACGUCUCACAUAACAUUGUCUCUAUCUCACACCACAUGGCCUCUCUCUAUCACUGCUCCUCCCUCUCAACAAAUUUGCAUUUCAGGUAAGGGUUUUAUUCCUAUUGUAGUUAGGUAUUAUUUAUUGUUGGGGUGUGGGUUUUACUUUGCUUAUUUAUUUGGUAGAUACUUAACAUAACUUAGUUAAGAUACUAUGAUAUUGCGAAUAUAUACAACUUUGUUUUGUUAGUGUAAAUUUUGAGUAUUUAUUUGCAUGGUUUUUGUUAGCAAAAUUUAUUCAGCAUCUUUAGUAAUGUUAGGCUCUUAUCAAGAGUGUGUUUUUAUCAUGACCUUAGAACAUUUUUUUUUUUUUUUUUUUAUUUUUUUUUUUUUUUUUUUUUUUUGGUAUUGGGUAUGAAAUAGGUUGUCUUAGCAUGACCCAAGAAGGGUUUGGGCUUUUUGUAUUGAGUAUGAAAUGACUAUAUAGCUAGGUUUUUUUAUCAGAACUAAUUUGAAGACAUUUUUUGUCUAACGUAAGAAUGUGUAAUGAAAAUCAUGCCCUUUAAAUGAAUUGGAAUUUGUACUUUGACUAGAUAAAAUGUUUUUAACUUUGACUAGAUAAAUUUUUUUGUAACUAACAUAUUACAAUUGACUCUAAUAGGUUCACAAUGA
rnacentral:sRNA from 1 species